CCCUGGGUGGCUCAGUCAGUAAAGAACCUGCCUGCAAUGCAGGAGACCCAGGUUCCAUCCCUAGGUCAGGAA
rnacentral:tRNA from 1 species